rnacentral:ncRNA from 1 species
AGUGGGGAAUAUUGCGCAAUGGGGGAAACCCUGACGCAGCAACGCCGCGUGGGUGAUGAAGGUCUUCGGAUUGUAAAGCCCUGUUUUCUGGGACGAUAAUGACGGUACCAGAGGAGGAAGCCACGGCUAACUACGUGCCAGCAGCCGCGGUAAUACGUAGGUGGCGAGCGUUGUCCGGAUUUACUGGGCGUAAAGGGUGCGUAGGCGGAUGUUUAAGUGGGAUGUGAAAUCCCCGGGCUUAACCUGGGGGCUGCAUUCCAAACUGGAUAUCUAGAGUGCAAGAGAGGAAAGCGGAAUUCCUAGUGUAGCGGUGAAAUGCGUAGAGAUUAGGAAGAACACCAGUGGCGAAGGCGGCUUUCUGGACUGUAACUGACGCUGAGGCACGAAAGCGUGGGUAGCAAACAGGAUUAGAUACCCUGGUAGUCCACGCCGUAAACGAUGGAUACUAGGUGUAGGGGGUAUCAACUCCCUCUGUGCCGCAGUUAACACAAUAAGUAUCCCGCCUGGGGAGUACGGUCGCAAGAUUAAAACUCAAAGGAAUUGACGGGGGCCCGCACAAGCAGCGGAGCAUGUGGUUUAAUUCGAAGCAACGCGAAGAACCUUACCUGGACUUGACAUCCCUUGCAUAGCCUAGAGAAGGUGAAGCCCUUCGGGGCAAGGAGACAGGUGGUGCAUGGUUGUCGUCAGCUCGUGUCGUGAGAUGUUAGGUUAAGUCCUGCAACGAGCGCAACCCUUGUUAUUAGUUGCUACCAUUAAGUUGAGCACUCUAAUGAGACUGCCUGGGUAACCAGGAGGAAGGUGGGGAUGACGUCAAAUCAUCAUGCCCCUUAUGUCCAGGGCUACACACGUGCUACAAUGGUAGGUACAAUAAGAGGCAAGACCGUGAGGUGGAGCAAAACUUAUAAAGCCUAUCUCAGUUCGGAUUGUAGGCUGCAA